rnacentral:rRNA from 1 species
UGAACGCUGGCGGCAUGCCUUACACAUGCAAGUCGAACGGCAGCACGGGUGCUUGCACCUGGUGGCGAGUGGCGAACGGGUGAGUAAUACAUCGGAACAUGUCCUGUAGUGGGGGAUAGCCCGGCGAAAGCCGGAUUAAUACCGCAUACGAUCUACGGAUGAAAGCGGGGGACCUUCGGGCCUCGCGCUAUAGGGUUGGCCGAUGGCUGAUUAGCUAGUUGGUGGGGUAAAGGCCUACCAAGGCGACGAUCAGUAGCUGGUCUGAGAGGACGACCAGCCACACUGGGACUGAGACACGGCCCAGACUCCUACGGGAGGCAGCAGUGGGGAAUUUUGGACAAUGGGCGAAGGCCUGAUCCAGCAAUGCCGCGUGUGUGAAGAAGGCCUUCGGGUUGUAAAGCACUUUUGUCCGGAAAGAAAUCCUUGGCUCUAAUACAGUCGGGGGAUGACGGUACCGGAAGAAUAAGCACCGGCUAACUACGUGCCAGCAGCCGCGGUAAUACGUAGGGUGCGAGCGUUAAUCGGAAUUACUGGGCGUAAAGCGUGCGCAGGCGGUUUGCUAAGACCGAUGUGAAAUCCCCGGGCUCAACCUGGGAACUGCAUUGGUGACUGGCAGGCUAGAGUAUGGCAGAGGGGGGUAGAAUUCCACGUGUAGCAGUGAAAUGCGUAGAGAUGUGGAGGAAUACCGAUGGCGAAGGCAGCCCCCUGGGCCAAUACUGACGCUCAUGCACGAAAGCGUGGGGGAGCAAACAGGAUUAGAUACCCUGGUAGUCCACGCCCUAAACGAUGUCAACUAGUUGUUGGGGAUUCAUUUCCUUAGUAACGUAGCUAACGCGUGAAGUUGACCGCCUGGGGAGUACGGUCGCAAGAUUAAAACUCAAAGGAAUUGACGGGGACCCGCACAAGCGGUGGAUGAUGUGGAUUAAUUCGAUGCAACGCGAAAAACCUUACCUACCCUUGACAUGGUCGGAAUCCCGCUGAGAGGUGGGAGUGCUCGAAAGAGAACCGGCGCACAGGUGCUGCAUGGCUGUCGUCAGCUCGUGUCGUGAGAUGUUGGGUUAAGUCCCGCAACGAGCGCAACCCUUGUCCUUAGUUGCUACGCAAGAGCACUCUAAGGAGACUGCCGGUGACAAACCGGAGGAAGGUGGGGAUGACGUCAAGUCCUCAUGGCCCUUAUGGGUAGGGCUUCACACGUCAUACAAUGGUCGGAACAGAGGGUUGCCAACCCGCGAGGGGGAGCUAAUCCCAGAAAACCGAUCGUAGUCCGGAUUGCACUCUGCAACUCGAGUGCAUGAAGCUGGAAUCGCUAGUAAUCGCGGAUCAGCAUGCCGCGGUGAAUACGUUCCCGGGUCUUGUACACACCGCCCGUCA